UACGGACGCAUUAUUUCUUUGGUCGGUGUAACUAUAAUAAAGUGGUCGUAAGAUACAUCGACAUACAAAAACCAACCGAAAAAACUGUCUGACAAGCUGACUGACCAACAAAGUAAAGAAAGUAUCAAUUGCACUAAAGAAAACACUAAUCCGAUUAUCUUUUAAUAAGAAAAAAAAAACUGCUGGUCACAGCAAAAACAGACAAAAAAGUAGUUCGUGUUCCAAAAAAAAGAACCAAAUCCAUUUUGAAUAAGGUGAAAUAAAUGUGUUUUGUUUAUAUUCGUUAAAUUUGUGAAAGAAAAGGCAGGUGUUUUGUUCGCAAUAUAGCAUUGUACGCAUAAAAAUAGAAGCGUUGCAUUUUUUCCACGUUAAAUACAGGACUUGAUCUAUUGUUAACGGUGUGUUUUUGGUGUAUUUUUUUGUUGUUGUUCAUUUUCCUUUGAAAUUUUAUAGAUUUUUGUGCCGAUUCACGCUUUUCUCAUCCAACUACGUUGGUUGACGAGAUAAACAUUAAAUGUGUCGUUGAAAUUAAAAAAUACCGGCACAACGUUUGAUAGAAAGAAGAAUCUAACAAACAAAAGACCGUAGACAUGACAAAAUUCGCGACAAAAACUAUGAAUUGAAUGAACAACUGACUGAAGGGGAAAAUAAAGUUGAAAAAAAGCACAGCAUCUGUUAUUGUUCUUCCGAUGAGCGACGGUUCGGGUGAUUGAACAAAAUCAGUGGAAAAGAGUUGAGUGAACGGUUCGAUAAUAAUGAUGUAGUGAAACCGAAACGAAAUAAAAAAAAUGUUUAACUCACCUUGCACUGGACAAUAUUUUAAAGCAUAGUUCUGAAUAGUUAUAAAACAGCAAGACAUCAGGUGAAAAAAGAGCAGUGAAUUGCUAUUAAAAACAACCUCGAAAGUUGUAAUUGUGUUAACUUAAAACGAAAAAAAGAGAGAAAGAGAGAGUGUGUGUUGCAGUUUGAGUUCAAAAUAUUGCACGUGAUCAGAGGGUAGGAGUGAUGUACCGUAAAAGUUUAUUUGUCACAGUUUGAAUGACAUGAAUUUCAGCCGUUACUGAACGUCAUUAACUUUGUGUUCAUUUUGUUAUUGAAUUCAUAAACAAUAAGCAAGUAAAUUAAACUUUAAUUACUAUUUAUGAGUUGAUGAACAAAAGCAACGAGGACAAAAAGAAUAACACAACACAUCAGCCACAAGAGUUUUAUGAACGAAAUCAUGAAAAAAGCCGAACGUUCUUUUCAUUAAAAUGUAUCAUUGUACACCGACGCACGACGACCAAAGCAACUGAACGAGCUUUAACACACAGAAUACCAGAGAAUCAAUGGUGAGAAGAAAGUGUGUAAUUGUAUGCAUUGAAGGUACAAAAAACAACUUCUCUAUAGAGGCACUGUUGUCGCAUAUACGUUGAGCUGAAUUCGGCGGUGCGACAAUCCAACAACAGCCAACAGUUAAAAAAAAAAGAACAAAAAACGAAACCAUCGAUUAUCACAACGUCGCAAGCAAUUAGUAAACAACGAAAUUAUGGCAAUUAUAGCAUUGGUCGCGUGUCUCGUUGCUAUUUUGCACACACUGCUUCAGUUGCAAGUGACGAGUGCUGUUAGCUGGGAGGACUGGUGGACUUAUGAUGGUAUUUCAGGACCAGCAUUUUGGGGUCUGAUCAAUCCAGAAUGGUCGCUAUGCAAUAAAGGAAGACGUCAAUCGCCCGUCAAUUUAGAACCACAACGCUUACUAUUCGAUCCGAAUUUAAGGCCUUUACAUAUAGAUAAGCAUCGGAUAACUGGCGUACUCGUUAAUACCGGCCACAGUGUUUUAUUUCGUGUGGAUUCAAACAGUAGUCAGAUUUACGAUGAUUCUCGUUUAGCUAUAAAUAUUACGGGUGCUUCUUUGUCAUAUCGUUAUCGAUUCGAAGAGAUGCACAUCCAUUAUGGGCUACACGAUCAAUAUGGAUCUGAGCAUAGUGUCAGCAGUUAUACAUUCCCGGCGGAGAUACAAAUAUUUGGUUAUAAUUCACAACUCUACACAAAUUUUACGGAUUCAAUGAAUCGAGCUCAAGGGAUUGUCGGCAUUUCAGUAUUGUUACAGAAAGGCGAACUAUCGAAUGCCGAACUGAGGAUACUCACCGAAGAGCUGAACCGAAUUCGUUAUGGUGAUAAUGAAGCUAGAAUAAAGCACAUAUCUAUACGUGGAUUGUUGCCUGACACCGAACACUAUAUGACAUAUGAAGGUUCAACGACAGCGCCCGGUUGCCAUGAAACUGUCACCUGGAUUGUACUAAAUAAACCGAUCUACAUCACAUUGCAACAGUUGCAUGCAUUGAGGCGGCUCAUGCAAGGAACACCCGAACAUCCAAAAGCACCAUUGGGAAAUAAUUUUCGACCACCGCAACCAUUAUUACAUCGACCUGUACGUACAAAUAUUGACUUUCGAACGAAACAAAAUGGAAAACUAUGUCCGAGCAUGUAUCGCGACGUUCAUUACAAAGUGAACAUUCACGAAAAUGCCAUCGUUCGCCACAACAAAGACACACAUUUAAUUAAAUACGACUCAUUUUCCAAAGGGAAUUACGAUUAAUUGGGUUAUAUGUGUAUGGCGUUACGUCAUUUAGACAACAAUAAAAACCAAUAUAGUAAAAUUCAAAUAGUUGGAAAGAGCACUAAAACGUACGUCACAACAAAAUUGAGAAAAAGAUUAUGAACGAAAAACAAAUAGCAACAUGAAAACAUUAUGAAAACUAUAAAUGAUUUUGUUUUUAAUCAAAAAUACUAACAACACGAAUUGAAACAAGCAAACAAGUGAAAUAGCUUUCAAUAUAUAUUGAAGAGAUGAAAAAGAAUUAUAUUUGCAUGGAAAAAAACAACAUCUCAAUUGUUGUUUACUUCGUCGUCUCUCAAUGUGCUUGCCAUUACAAAUAAGAGUGACGUUGGAUUUAGACUUAAGAAGAAUGGCGUUUAAAAAAGAGACGAAAUAAUGGCAUGAAGCUGGAAAAAGAAACUGAAUGAACUUGUCUAUGGAACGUCACAUCAAAAAAGCGAACAAUCCAAUUUCUUCCAUUGUUUCCUUCGUGGGUGCUUGGAGUUCACAAUGAUGCCGUCGUCGUCAUCGUCAUCACUGCCGCUGCUGUUGCUGCGUCGAUAAAAAUACAAACAUUCAAGUCGUAUCGUCGAAAAAUAUUACAUGCAAAUUCUAUCAGAAACACAAACGGCCAAAAAAAAAAAACAACAGAACCGAAGCGAACAUAAAUCAAAGACGAACGAAAGCGAGAAAAGCAUUUGUGCAUGUCUGUCGGGUGUUGGCUGCUACAUGCACAUCGAAACACAAACGAAAGAACAAAAAAUUACUAUCGUAUCCAUUGCAUUCAACAUGAAACGGUUCGAAAUCAAACAAUUUAAAAUGCAAAAGUGAAAGGGAGAGGGCGAACAUUUUUUUUUGUUAUCUCUCACUCAACAUCCUCAAGUAUCACAUAGAGUCAAAGAUUCAUUCUGUCAUAUGAACGAGAUGCAAUACAGUUGUACCAAACAACUUCCGCUGUGUGUAAAUCUGCCUGAAUCUCUGUGUGCUAUGCACAUCUUACUCUAUCUACUAUUUGCUUAAUAAUUUCAAAAUUUCCAAGCAAGGAACAUCACAGCAAAAAGAAUUUUGAAUAUGUGCCGUUCUCAGCAUUGUGAGCAACAAAAAAAAGAAAGAAAGAAAAACUGAACAAAGAAUAAUAAGAAGAAAACGAAAGACGCUUCAUAACAAAAGAUAGGAAAGUAAAUUGAAGACGACAAGUAGUCAAGAAAUGUAAUGGAAUUUUCUCAAAUACUUCCACUUGUAAGUUAAACAGAAUGCAUUUUCGCCCGAAAAUUCAUCCAAGUUCGAGUGAAAGACACAUAUAAACACAGAGGAAAACAUCCACAACCAAAGAUGGCAUUGGUACGAUGAAAAUUUUUAAGUAAUUUUUAAAGGAUUAGGUAAUAAAAUGAAUUUAUUGUGAUUAUAAUUGAUCACAACAUGUAAAAGAAUUUGUGAAUUUGCAAGAGCUCUUUCUCUGCCAAUAAAAUAGUACAUGUUAAGGUAUUGAAUCCAGUUUCAGUGAAAAUGCCAUUCCAAGUGUUUCAAUUUCAUUAUUCAAUGCAUUUGAAGAGUGCUUCCGUCAAUUUUGCAUCGAUAUUAUUGCUUUGAAUCGUCUGUCACAACUAUAUCACAUUUCAGUUCAAGUUCUUUUAGUUUCGAUUAGUUUUUUCCAUUUCUCUAUGACAAUUAAAUUGCGUUGAAAAAUGCAUUUUCUUCCAACUUGACAGAUUCU